rnacentral:rRNA from 1 species
GAUGAACGCUGGCGGCGUGCCUAACACAUGCAAGUCGAGCGAGAUAAAUGUGAGUGGAGACUUCGGUCAAAGCAAUCAUUUUGAAAGCGGCGGACGGGUGAGUAACGCGUGAGCAAUCUGCCCCAUACAAAGGGAUACCCACUGGAAACGGUGAUUAAUACCUUAUAAGACCACGAAGUCGCCUGGCUUAGUGGCCAAAGAUUUAUCGGUAUGGGAUGAGCUGGCGUCUGAUUAGCUAGUUGGUGAGGUAAUGGCUCACCAAGGCGACGAUCAGUAGCCGACCUGAGAGGGUGAACGGCCACACUGGAGCUGAGACACGGUCCAGACGCCUACGGGAGGCAGCAGUGGGGAAUAUUGCACAAUGGGCGCAAGCCUGAUGCAGCAACGCCGCGUGAAUGAUGAAGGCCUUCGGGUCGUAAAGUUCUGUCCUAAGGGAAGAAUACAGUGACGGUACCUUAGGAGGAAGCCCCGGCUAACUACGUGCCAGCCGCCGCCGUAA